UCGAGAAUCAUUCACAAUGGGGGAAACCCUGAUGGUGCGACGCCGCGUGGGGGAGGAAGGUCUUCGGAUUGUAAACCCCUGUCAUGUGGGAGCAAGGCGCAAGCUUGAUAGUACCACAAGAGGAAGAGACGGCAAACUCUGUGCCAGCAGCCGCGGUAAUACAGAGGUCUCAAGCGUUGUUCGGAAUCACUGGGCGUAAAGGGUACGUAGGCGGCAACAUAAGUCGUGCGUGAAAGGCAGGGGCUCAACCUCUGGAGUGCGCAUGAUACUGUGGGGCUAGAGUAAUGGAGAGGGAACCGGAAUUCUUGGUGUAGCAGUGAAAUGCGUAGAUAUCAAGAAGAAGACUCGUGGCGAAGGCGGGUUCCUGGACAUUUACUGACGCUGAGGUACGAAGGCUAGGGUAGCGAAAGGG
rnacentral:rRNA from 2 species